rnacentral:tRNA from 1 species
GGCUCCGCCUGGUUUUUUAGCUUUUGACUUUUAAUCAGAGGGUCACAGGUUCGAGACCUGUACGGCCUACCA